GACGAACGCUGGCGGCGUGCCUAAUACAUGCAAGUAGAACGCAGUUGCGAACGGGUGAGUAACGCGUAGGUAACUGCCUCAUAGCGGGGGAAAACUAUUGGAAACGAUAGCUAAUACCGCAUAUUGUGAGAUGGACCUGCGUUGUAUUAGCUAGUUGGUGAGGUAAAGGCUCACCAAGGCGACGAUACAUAGCCGACGUGCGAGGGUGAUCGACCACACGGGGACUGGGACACGGCCCAGACGCCGACGGGAGGCAGCAGUAGGGAAUCUUCGUCAAUUGACGGAAGGCUGACCGAGCAACGGCGCGGGAGUGAAGAAGGUUUUCGGAUCGUAAAGCUCUGUUGUUAGAGAAGCGGUAACUAAACAGAAGGGGACGGCUAACUACGUGCCAGCCGCCGCGGUAAUAC
rnacentral:rRNA from 1 species